ACAGGGCGGGCGGUCCGUGUUCGUUCCCCAAAUCCCUCAUCUCGCACAAUUCCUCCCUCAAUCCUCCCGAGUCAACCAUGCCGCCGCCGCCGCCGCCGCCGCCGAGCCUCUCCGAUGGCCCGGCCUCACGCGACAACGCGCUCGCCUCCAUCCACAAGCCGCCGGCGUCUCAUGGUGAUUCGUCCACUCGUCAGCCAUCAAUAAGAAGAGAUAAUCCAGAGAAUUUAACCAAAGUGUUGGCUGAGGCAGUGAAGUGUGCACAAGCUCUUAAGACUGAUGAUCUGAUUACUGACACUAGAGUUAAGGAAGCUUUUGCAGAGCUGAUGAACAAAGUGUACCCGCAUCUACCUGAGAGUCUACAGGAUCAACUGAUUGCUGAUUUCAAACUCAAUAUCCUCCGUCGGGCACAAGAGAAAAAUACUCCCCCAGUUGAGUUGAUGGAUGGUGAACAGAAGAAGAACUUCCUCGGGAAAAAAGGAACUCGUACCAAUACCUUGUGGAUUAUAGAAAAGCUAGUCCUGUUAGUCGGCAUAUCCUGCUUCAUGUACCUCAUGAGCCUCUAUGUCACCGAGAACUGAAAAGAGAAAGGGGAAAUAAACAUUUAUACAUGGGGAUUCAGUUGUAUUCUAAUCUCUGGACAACAAAAGCAGCAAUCUUUCAGCAUACCACAAGGAUGGGCUCUGCUUUGGUGCCAAAUAGGAUUUGUACCACUGGAAAGGAAGUGUGUCUGGUUUGAUGGCCGGUUAGCUGGUGUUAGUCUGUUUAUUUUUCAGUCUUAUUGUCUGUUUCUGCUGGGGUUGUGUCAAGACUUGAUGUGCCCUCUUGCUUUAUUUCAGUAAAAUUAUGUUGAUGUGCGGGCAUGAUGUAAUGAACUUUUGUUUUAAUGAAUAAGUUUAUUAAAGCAUAUAUGUUCUCCUCA
rnacentral:rRNA from 1 species